AGGUAUGCUUUAUGCUCACUCUUUUCUCCUUUUGCAAUUUUGAGUCUCUGCAUUACAAAAUACUAGAGAUGUUUACUCUUUUUAUGGACUUCAUCUAUGUGAUAUUAAUUGGCAGCCUCUAGGUGGGUAUGUAUUGUGAUGUGAAGAAGUGUCUGACAGAGAAGCAUGGAGCUCUGUUAAUGAACUGAAGCAAAAGGAAGAGCUGAGAAUUCGUCUGAUGGAAAAUGAUGUUAGGCUUCAAAUAGUGUAUGGCGUGCAAGCUAAGCAUUCUUUUUUUUGGGCUGUGCUUUCGAAGAAUCUGUUGGCAACAAAUUACUUAAGUUUUGGGGAUAUGGUGACACGUAAUUGCUCCAAAGUUGUAGCUUGUGCGAUAGUAUUGGUGGAUAUGAUCUUUCGUUUUCCUACUUCCUGACUUCGGCUUAUUGAUAGUCCGAGAAAAAUGAGUUUCAUAGGUAUUACUGCAAUAGGUCAUGUGCAUGUUGCAAUUCAAAAGGAGUGCAGAUUCUUGAAAUGAAGUGCAUAUAUCUAAAGAUUGAGGAUUUGCAUGGAUAUGCUUAUUUUGUUUGGAGUCACUGGCCUUUUGCUAGUCUUGCCUCAUGUGGAGACCGUCAACAUAAUCUUUUCUACUGUUAAUGGAAGAGGCUUGGAUUUCAAAUCAAUCACUUUAAAUUGGUUAUUUGUGUCACCACCACCAUAGGAGUUAGACCAUCCUUUCUGACCAUACAAGCUUUCUUCGACUACUGGUGUGAAACGAGUGGCCUUUACGAGCCACCUAAUUCUCUCGCCUGUAUGUCACGCGUCGAUGCAUGCUCUGGCAGACUUAUUUGGGGAUGGCUUUCCAGCAUCAGAUUGUCAAUUCCGACAUACCCCAAAUUUUAUCCGGUGUUAAAACACUACUUUGAGAGAUUUUCUUCACUUCCAGGUUCAUUUUAUUUUUCCUGGAGUUUCCGCAUUCAAAUCUGUUUGCUAUUUGGUGCUACUACUACUAUUGACUUCUGUUCAAUAUCCAAUUUAUAUUGUUUUGUGGAUGCUUGUUCUUCAUUGCUGGUUCCUUUGUUCUCCCUCGUAGCUUCUUCGUUCAUAUUUGACUCAGUUACAAUUAUUUUGUUGGGUGAGUUGGCUGUCAACUUUCUGAUUGGGUUAUAAUAUUAUUAGGAACCUUCUAAUUGACUAUUCUUAAGUUCUUUAUUGUGACAUUAAAGAGCUGCAUUUCGAGUAUUUGGUUGUGUUUGCUUGCUUCUCCUAUAUUGAUGUUUUGGGGAUUUGAUUUAUACAUGUAAGCAAUUAGAAAGGAGGAAAUAUGACUACAAAUCAGAAGGGCAAGACAAUUUUGGUUUCGGCAGAUGAGUUUGCAGAGUUCUCUCAGUAUCGAGAAUUCCUUAAAGAAUUCAUUUCAGUUACUACCCUUGUUGAUGUAAAACUGUGGAAUCUGGGACCGUCAAAGCCACCUCCUCUACCCUAUCAUUUGUAUUAAAGUAACUGAAGUUUGACUUCAAUUUGAUUUAUGUAUUUUAAAAUAAUUUAUCCUAUCGAAAUUGGAGUGUCUGAGUUUACCAGAAUGCUCCCAGGCACAAGUAUCGAGGUAAUGCACUAAAGGUUACUUUUUGAAUCAGAGUUUGGAUUCCGGUGGUCCUUCUAAUCAUCGGAAAUUUUAUUCUCCUUUAUUCCGUCAACUUUUGUUCAUAUGGAUAGUCACAUUUAUUUUCCAGUUGGUUUUAAGUCUUAUAACUAUUAGAAUAGAAUAGGAAAACACAAUCCUACACAAACUAGGAAUAGUUUAUAGUCUCCUAUUUGGUAAGGAAUUGUAUUAUAUAAUGUCUAUAAAUAGGGUUCUCUAUGUAAUUAUUACAACAACAAUUCAAUAAUAUUCUUUCCUUAUAUUUCUCACAUGGUAUCAGAGCAUUGGUGAGAAAAAAAAAAAGUCAGAAUCCUGUGACUGUCAACGGCUGGUUUGCAUUGUUGUCUUGUUUUACAAGUGUAGUGUGACAACCCACACCACCAUGAGGUGCGGAACACUCAGGCGAGGAAACCCCAGUGAGCUCCUCUGAGUUUCACCGAGUCACGCGCCCUCACGCGCCGCCAGGAGUACCAGGGUCGCGUCACCACGCGCAUCACACGCCGGCGCGUGUGACACUUUCCGGCCAGUUUUUUUCGACCAAUUUUUUUUCAUUGAGGUCGCCUCUCCAUUCCGAGGCAGACUGUAUAUUUAUUUUCUUAUUCCGACCAGUUUC